rnacentral:lncRNA from 1 species
GGUGUCAUUGGAAGUGGCCUUUGGGUUUCAAAAGCUCAAGCCAGUCCUGGUGUCUCUGCCCUCUUGCUGCCCAAGGAUCCAGACAUAGAUUCCCAAGCUACUUCUCUAGCACCGUGUCUGCCCGUGUGCCGCCAUGCUCCCCACCAAGGAUGGGAAGCAUCUGUGCGAGGGAUUCCAGCGCCCACUGGUUCACUUUCUUGUUGGAAUCGUGAAGCCUUGGGGUGAAAGCAUCAAAGACCUAUUGAGGGAACAGAAACCAAGAGUUUGUGGGCUUGGCAGGCGUCAGCUGAGACUCCCCCUGCAUCCCUGAAGUGGAUCCCCAGGCCUGUGCUAGGGGGAUUCCCAGUGAUGAAGAGCUCAUCUCCUCAAAAGGGGAACAGGCACAAAGAGGAUGGACAGACUGUAUUCACAUGUCAAUCAUCCAGAACACUGGGGUCGGUCCUCUUCACUAUCGUUCCCUGACGACCUUGGCAGCCCAUGUUGCUAGUGCCAUUGUCAUUCACCAGUUUCCCAGUAACAAGGAAGGCUCAUGGAGGAGACUGAGUCUCCUCAGAUCACACAGCUCUUGGGGGGCUUGACUCAGCCUAGGUUGCCACCUGCCCGUCAGCGUCACUCCAAGGAAAAGCAGUAAAUCCUCCUGGUGU